GACGAACGCUGGCGGCGUGCCUAAUACAUGCAAGUCGAACGCAAAACUUUUACCGAAUGCUUGCAUUCACGAAAGUUUUGAGUGGCGAACGGGUGAGUAACACGUGGGUAACCUGCCCAGAAGAGGGGGAUAACACUUGGAAACAGGUGCUAAUACCGCAUAAUAACAAAAACCGCAUGGUUUUUGUUUGAAAGAUGGUUUUGCUAUCAAUUAUGGAUGGACCCGCGGCGUAUUAGCUAGUUGGUAAGGUAAAGGCUUACCAAGGCAAUGAUACGUAGCCAAACUGAGAGGUUGAUCGGCCACAUUGGGACUGAGACACGGCCCAAACUCCUACGGGAGGCAGCAGUAGGGAAUCUUCCACAAUGGACGAAAGUCUGAUGGAGCAACGCCGCGUGAGUGAAGAAGGUUUUCGGAUCGUAAAACUCUGUUGUUAGAGAAGAACGUGUGUGAGAGUAACUGCUCAUGCAGUGACGGUAUCUAACCAGAAAGCCACGGCUAACUAUGUGCCAGCCGCCGCCGUAA
rnacentral:rRNA from 1 species